rnacentral:hammerhead_ribozyme from 1 species
AAGAUGAUGAGUCCCAAAUAGGACGAAACACGCGUCCUGGAU